CUUGCAUCAAAUGUAUGUAAAAAUCUAGCUUUUAUAUAUUAACUUGUGAUCAGAGCAACUGGUAUGUUGGUUGGGUAUCAUCUUAUAUUUUACAUAUCCAUUCGAUGUUUAUCACCAGAAGUUAGUUCUACCUUUGCAGUACCUCUGCUCUACAUACCUCCUCGCUGGUUAAAGAAUGGAAUAUAAAUCUCAUAUCAAGUUGGUGUAAAAAUUUAGUUCAAUAAAUUAAGAAUUUGUAAA